rnacentral:rRNA from 1 species
CCUACGGGGGGCAGCAGUGGGGAAUAUUGGACAAUGGGGGCAACCCUGAUCCAGCCAUGCCGCGUGUGUGAAGAAGGCCCUCGGGUUGUAAAGCACUUUCAGUGAGGAAGAACGCCUGGUGGUUAAUACCCAUCAGGAAAGACAUCACUCACAGAAGAAGCACCGGCUAACUCCGUGCCAGCAGCCGCGGUAAUACGGAGGGUGCGAGCGUUAAUCGGAAUUACUGGGCGUAAAGCGCGCGUAGGUGGCUUGAUAAGCCGGUUGUGAAAGCCCCGGGCUCAACCUGGGAACGGCAUCCGGAACUGUCAAGCUAGAGUGCAGGAGAGGAAGGUAGAAUUCCCGGUGUAGCGGUGAAAUGCGUAGAGAUCGGGAGGAAUACCAGUGGCGAAGGCGGCCUUCUGGACUGAAACUGACACUGAGGUGCGAAAGCGUGGGUAGCAAACAGGAUUAGAUACCCCUGUAGUC